GCGUCGCAGUUGGUUCAAACGAGCAGUAGUCUCUGCCGACGCUGUUGCUGCGACCUGACGAGAGGCUGCCCAGGCCUGAAAGGUCGAACUCUUGGAUGCCCUGCCUCUGGGGCGUCUACCUUGCCGAGUAGGGGCCGAAGCCGGAGUUAAGAGGAGGGUUUGAUAUUGCUGUGUUUUUAAACAGCCUAAUGAGGUGUUACCCUGACUCUGGGUACGGGGUGACCACUGGUGAUCCUGCGUCGGCAUAAGGAGAAGGCUUUGAAGGGUCCUUGUGGAUAAGAGGUUGCGAGGAGAGGAGUCCAUGACUGUAUCCCUGCUUUUUAAGCUGAGCAUGCAGGACGCAGAGCUGCCCGACACUGUUGAUCUCACCAGCCUUCAGCACUAGCUCAGCAAUCUGAUGUGACUCCUGCUUAGCUGCCGGAGGGAAGGCAGCCCCAGAUUGGCUCAGUAAUGGAACUAGCUUCCCUGUAUUCCUCCUUCUGACCUCACGGAAACCACGCAGACUGAUUUAAAUGACUCUUAUUCCAGAGAGACUCAGAAGCUGGCCCUAGCUGUGUGUAAAUGAACUGCGUGGCUUUAAAACAAAAGCCAAAGAGA